GCGCGAUUGGAUGAGCCGAUGUCGGAUUAGCUUGUUGGCGGGGUAACGGCCCACCAAGGCGACGAUCCGUAGCUGGUCUGAGAGGAUGAUCAGCCACACUGGAACUGAGACACGGUCCAG
rnacentral:rRNA from 1 species